CCUACGGGAGGCUGCAGUGGGGAAUAUUGCACAAUGGGGGAAACCCUGAUGCAGCGACGCCGCGUGAAGGAAGAAGCAUUUCGGUAUGUAAACUUCUAUCAGCAGGGAAGAAAAUUACGGUACCUGACUAAGACGCCCCGGCUAACUACGUGCCGGCGGCCGCGGUACUACGUAGGGGGCAAGCGUUAUCCGGAUUUACUGGGUGUAAGGGGAGCGUAGGCGGUUUAGCAAGUCAGAAGUGAAAGCCCGGGGCUAAAGUCCGGGACUGCUUUUGAAACUGCUGAACUAGAUUGCAGGAGAGGUGAGUGGAAUGCCUGGUGUAGCGGUGAAAUGCGUAGAUAUUAGAAGGAACACCAGUGGCGAAGGCGGCUUACUGGACUGUAAAUGACGCUGAGGCUCGAAAGCGUGGGGAGCAAACAGGAUUAGAUACCCGAGUAGUC
rnacentral:rRNA from 1 species